rnacentral:rRNA from 1 species
UAUGUGAUCGUCUCUCGCAUAUCAAUAAGCGGAGGAAAAGAAACUAACAAGGAUUCCCUUAGUAACGGCGAGUGAAGCGGGAAGAGCUCAAAUUUGAAAUCUUCAAGGUUUUACCUUGACGAAUUGUAGUUUAAAGAAGUGUUUUCUGUUGAAGUUUUGGUAAAAGUUCUUUGGAAUAGGACAUCAUAGAGGGUGAGAAUCCCGUAUUUGACCAUUAUUUUCAGCUGUGUGAUACACUUUCAAAGAGUCGGAUUGUUUGGGAAUGCAGUCCAAAAUGGGUGGUAAAUUUCAUCUAAAGCUAAAUAUUGGCGAGAGACCGAUAGCGAACAAGUACCGUGAGGGAAAGAUGAAAAGAACUUUGAAAAGAGAGUUAAACAGUACGUGAAAUUGUCAAAAGGGAAGCGUUUGACACCAGUGUUGUUUUCUCGAAAAUCAAUUAAAAAGAGUUUAGAUUUUGUUGUGUAUUGACCUUAACAGCUUGCAUUUCAAUUUUCUUGCUUUUUUUAAUGCACCUUUUCGUUUAACAAGUCAACAUCAGUUUCUUUUGUUGUAAAAAGGUCAUUGGAAGGUGGCUUUCUUUUCGGAGAAAGUGUUUAUAGCCUUUGAGCUCCUGCAAUCGGAGAGACUGAGGUCUGCAGCGUAGAUCCUUCGGGGUUAGAUACAUUUGUGCUAAGUUAUAGCUUUUUAUAGACAACUUGUUGACUAUGAUUAGUCUUGUAGCUUACUCGCUUAUGCUAUUUUACCUACGCUUAGGAUGUUGAAGAUGUAGCACAUCAU